rnacentral:rRNA from 2 species
UACGAUGUCGGAUUAUUGGGCGUAAAGCGCGCGCAGGCGGUCCUUUAAGUCUGAUGUGAAAGCCCACGGCUCAACCGUGGAGGGUCAUUGGAAACUGGGGGACUUGAGUGCAGAAGAGAAGAGUGGAAUUCCACGUGUAGCGGUGAAAUGCGUAGAGAUGUGGAGGAACACCAGUGGCGAAGGCGACUCUUUGGUCUGUAACUGACGCUGAGGCGCGAAAGCGUGGGGAGCAAACAGGAUUAGAUACCCUGGUAGUCCACGCCGUAAACGAUGAGUGCUAAGUGUUAGAGGGUUUCCGCCCUUUAGUGCUGCAGCAAACGCAUUAAGCACUCCGCCUGGGGAGUACGGCCGCAAGGCUGAAACUCAAAUGAAAUUGACGGA